AUCUAGCUGACAAGUCUUAAAUAGGAUGAAACGCACGUCGUGGAU
rnacentral:hammerhead_ribozyme from 1 species